GAUGAACGCUGGCGGCGUGCCUAAUACAUGCAAGUCGAGCGAACAGACGAGGAGCUUGCUCCUCUGACGUUAGCGGCGGACGGGUGAGUAACACGUGGAUAACCUACCUAUAAGACUGGGAUAACUUCGGGAAACCGGAGCUAAUACCGGAUAAUAUAUUGAACCGCAUGGUUCAAUAGUGAAAGACGGUUUUGCUGUCACUUAUAGAUGGAUCCGCGCCGCAUUAGCUAGUUGGUAAGGUAACGGCUUACCAAGGCAACGAUGCGUAGCCGACCUGAGAGGGUGAUCGGCCACAAUGGAACUGAGACACGGUCCAGACUCCUACGGGAGGCAGCAGUAGGGAAUCUUCCGCAAUGGGCGAGAGCCUGACGGAGCAACGCCGCGUGAGUGAUGAAGGUCUGCGGAUCGUAAAACUCUGUUAUUAGGGAAGAACAAAUGUGUAAGUAACUAUGCACGUCUUGACGGUACCGAAUCAGAAAGCCACGGCUAACUACGU
rnacentral:rRNA from 1 species